rnacentral:rRNA from 1 species
CCUAUGGGGGGCAGCAGUGAGGAAUAUUGGUCAAUGGGCGUAAGCCUGAACCAGCCAAGUCGCGUGAGGGAUGAAGGUUCUAUGGAUCGUAAACCUCUUUUAUAAGGGAAUAAAGUGCGGGACGUGUCCCGUUUUGUAUGUACCUUAUGAAUAAGGAUCGGCCAACUCCGUGCCAGAAGCGGCGGUAACACGGAGGAUCCGAGCGUUAUCCGGAUUUAUUGGGUUUAAAGGGUGCGUAGGCGGCCUUUGAAGUCAGCGGUGAAAGCCUGUGGCUCAACCAUAGAAUUGCCGUUGAAACUGGGAGGCUUGAGUAUGUUUGAGGCAGGCGGAAUGCGUGGUGUAGCGGUAAAAUGCUUAGAGAUCAAGCAGAACCCCGAUUGCGAAGGCGGCCUGCCAAGACAUGACUGACGCUGAUGCGCGAAAGCGUGGGGAUCAAACAGGAUUAGAUACCCUUGUAGUC